CUGCACAAAAAAUCGAGCUGGGGGGUUCCCUGGUCCCUGGCGACGGGGCGGGGAGCGCCGCGCCACGGGAGGGGGCGGGCGCGGUAGCGCGGGCCCCGCCGAGGGGGGACACCUGGCUGAGGCGCAGCUGCCGCCGCAGCGCUCCGCGCGAACCCAGGGCUCCGGUCCCUGCGCGGGCUCGAGAGUUCGCCCCGACCGGGGGUCUUCCUCCUCCGCCGUUGACAGGCUGCACCCUUAUUUGUUUUCUUCGAACAAUAAAAUAAAUGACUAUCUACUGACAAGUCAUCUAUGGACCCUCGGGCCCACAGUUCCUCCACGUCCGCGGCUGAGCAAAGAAGCUGCACGCACGCGCAAGAAAGGAGGUCUGAGAGACUGAGGAAGCAAAGUGAGAGCGGCGAACAGCGACGAUUCUGCGCAUGUUCAAGGCGCGGAGGUCGGGGUAGGAGUUUGCGCAUGCGCAGAAGUGUCGGGAAAGCAAGAGAAGGGGUAGGAGGCGGUAUUGACAGCUGUGGAGGCAGCCCGCGUUCCCGGCAUGCCCCGGGGCGGCGGGGUUGGCUCUAACGAAUUUGAAUGAGGAGCCUCAGCGCUUUCGGCGCCAUUUUCGAGUGAUGCCUGAUCUCAUCAAUCUAGCGGGAGAGACAGGAUAACCUGUCCGAGAUUGUAGCGCCACUAGGACUCCGCCGAAAAACCACUUAAAAAAUUGUCAAAAAUUACUUCGAGCAAAGGGCAGCUCACGGAGCUUCGCCAGGGUUGGCGCAGACGAUCCCAGUCGUCUUUAAUCGCAGUUUUCCCGGCCCGCAGACGGCCGUCUUCUCGUGACAUGAAACUUGAGGUCGGCGGAAAAUUAAGGACCUGGAGUAUAGUGGGUGCCUCCGGUCCGUCGUGCGGACCUGCAGUCCGCGGGACCCAGCACCGUAUAUUGUGUUAGACGCUGAAGC